rnacentral:rRNA from 1 species
UGCGUAGGUGGCAUUGUAAGUCAGAGGUGAAAGCCUACCGCUUAACGGUAGAACUGCCUUUGAUACUGCAGUGCUUGAAUUAGGCUGAGGUUAGCGGAAUGUGACAUGUAGCGGUGAAAUGCGUAGAUAUGUCAUAGAACACCAAUUGCGAAGGCAGCUAACUAGACCUAUAUUGACACUGAGGCACGAAAGCGUGGGGAGCGAACAGGAUUAGAUACCCUGGUAGUCC